rnacentral:rRNA from 1 species
AGGGGGCUAGCGUUGUCCGGAUUUACUGGGCGUAAAGGGUGAGUAGGCGGUUACAUAUGUCAGAUGUAAAAGGCUAAGGCUUAACCAUAGUAUGCAUUUGAAACUGUGUGACUUGAGUACAGGAGAGGUAAGCGGAAUUCCUAGUGUAGCGGUGAAAUGCGUAGAUAUUGGGAGGAACACCAGUAGCGAAGGCGGCUUUCUGGACUGUAACUGACACUGAGGCACGAAAGCGUGGGGAGC